GACGAACGCUGGCGGCGUGCUUAACACAUGCAAGUCGAACGGAAAGGCCCUGCUUGCAGGGUACUCGAGUGGCGAACGGGUGAGUAACACGUGGGUGAUCUGCCCUGCACUUCGGGAUAAGCCUGGGAAACUGGGUCUAAUACCGGAUAGGAGCCAUUUGUAGUGUGAUGGUUGGAAAGUUUUUUCGGUGUAGGAUGAGCUCGCGGCCUAUCAGCUUGUUGGUGGGGUAAUGGCCUACCAAGGCGGCGACGGGGAGCCGGCCUGAGAGGGUGGACGGCCACCUUGGGACUUAGAUACGGCCCAGACUCCUACGGGAGGCAGCAGUGGGGAAUAUUGCACAAUGGGCGCAAGCCUGAUGCAGCGACGCCGCGUGGGGGAUGACGGCCUUCGGGUUGUAAACUCCUUUCGCUAGGGACGAAGCUUUUUGUGACGGUACCUAGAUAAGAAGCACCGGCUAACUACGUG
rnacentral:rRNA from 1 species